rnacentral:rRNA from 1 species
AGAGUUUGAUCAUGGCUCAGGAUGAACGCUGGCGGUCUGCUUAACACAUGCAAGUCGAACGGAAGUAGCAAUACUUUAGUGGCGGACGGGUGAGUAACGCGUGAGAAUCUACCUUCAGGACGGAGACAACAGUUGGAAACGACUGCUAACCCCCGAUGUACCGCAAGGGCAAAUAUUUAUAGCCUGAAGAAGAGCUCGCGUCCGAUUAGCUAGUUGGGGGGGUAAAAGCCCACCAAGGCGACGAUCGGUAGCUGGUCUGAGAGGACGAUCAGCCACACUGGGACUGAGACACGGCCCAGACUCCUACGGGAGGCAGCAGUGGGGAAUUUUCCGCAAUGGGCGCAAGCCUGACGGAGCAAGACCGCGUGGGGGAGGAAGGCUCUUGGGUUGUAAACCCCUUUUCUCUGGGAAGAACAAAAUGACGGUACCAGAGAAUCAGCAUCGACUGCCCCC